rnacentral:rRNA from 1 species
CUGGCUCAGGAUGAACGCUAGCUACAGGCUUAACACAUGCAAGUCGAGGGGCAUCAUGGAGUUUGCUUGCAAACUCUGAUGGCGACCGGCGCACGGGUGAGUAACGCGUAUCCAACCUUCCCUAUAGUAGAGGAUAGCCCGGCGAAAGUCGGAUUAAUACUCUAUGUUUUCCGUUGCAGACAUCUAAGAUGGAACAAAGGCUUGCCGCUAUAGGAUGGGGGAUGCGUCUGAUUAGGUAGUCGGCGGGGUAACGGCCCACCGAGCCAUCGAUCAGUAGGGGUUCUGAGAGGAAGGUCCCCCCACAUUGGAACUGAGACACGGUCCAAACUCCUACGGGAGGCAGCAGUGAGGAAUAUUGGUCAAUGGGCGAGAGCCUGAACCAGCCAAGUAGCGUGCAGGAUGACGGCCCUAUGGGUUGUAAACUGCUUUUAUGCGGGGAUAAAGUUCACUACGUGUAGUGUUUUGUAGGUACCGCAUGAAUAAGGACCGGCUAAUUCCGUGCCAGCCGCUGC